rnacentral:rRNA from 1 species
UACAGAGGUCUCAAGCGUUGUCCGGAUUCAUUGGGCGUAAAGAGCGUGUAGGCGGCCAGGUAGGUCGGUUGUGAAAACUCGAGGCUCAACCUCGAGAUGUCGACCGAAACCAUCUGGCUAGAGUCCGGAAGAGGAGAAUGGAAUUCCCGGUGUAGCGGUGAAAUGCGCAGAUAUCGGGAAGAACACCCGUGGCGAAGGCGGUUCUCUGGGACGGUACUGACGCUGAGACGCGAAAGCGUGGGGAGCGAACAGG